rnacentral:rRNA from 1 species
UACGUAGGGGGCUAGCGUUGUCCGGAUUUAUUGGGCGUAAAGAGCGUGUAGGCGGCCAUGUAGGUCCGGUGUGAAAACUCGAGGCUUAACCUCGAGAUGUCAUCGGAAACCAUUUGGCUAGAGUCCGGAGGAGGAGAGUGGAAUUCCUGGUGUAGCGGUGAAAUGCGCAGAUAUCAGGAAGAACACCAAUGGCGAAAGCAGCUCUCUGGGACGGUACUGACGCUGAGGAGCGAAAGCGUGGGGAGCGAACAGG